GUUUCCCAUCACUAGAUGAGACCAUGACAAUUUUUAGUCAAAUUCUUGAUCAUGCAAGUGACAAAUUUCGAGAACCUAUUGCAAAAAAUCACACUCUUCUACGCAAAAUUCAUCAAACGCCAAGUAUCGUACAUGAUCCGCUGUUUUAGAGCAAACCAACUAAAAAGUGGGUACCAGAAUUGCUGAUUGAGUCAAUGAAUGGUAGAUGAAAAAUGUACACUGUAAUUAAAUGAAACGAUUUCUUCAAGUGUUUUUGCACUUGACUCGAUUCGUCACGUCACACUGCAAAUUGAAGUGAUUUAGUGUUGAUUUCACAAUGAUUAACACUUUCUAAUGAAAUGAUCUUGCGUUGAAAACUGUUCAAUGGAAAUCACCAUCGUGUUAUAAUGAAUAUCUCUUGAAUUUGCACCACUGUUCAAAUCAAUUGAAUUACAGCCGCGAUUCCAAUUGACAAACGUCAAAAACAUAAAACGAAACAAAAAUAGUCGCGAUGGCGAAAGGCGCAAGCAGCACAUUUUCCCCGGAGAUUGAAAAUUUGUUUGGAAACCCUGAAUUCGAAUACACCGACACAGCGACAGUGGUCAUUUUGUAAUCAAAUUGAAAACCUAGAAUAAAAUAAAAUUGAAAAAUCUAAAAUAAACAGAAA